GGGCGCUGCCGCGGCGGAGGCCACGCCCCGAAACACAGUCCCCGCCCACCCAGGGGCUGCACCUAAGCGGCUCCUAGCGGUGAGGCUCGUAAGUCACUCCUGGGACCUGUGCCAUGAGCUCAGCUCCUGAAAGCACCCUCCUUUCUUACGAACACCAGGAGGGCGACCAAACAGCCAGUGGAAAUGCUUCCCCCACCUUGAGGAGCACCUGCCUUAGAAGGAAGCUGAGAAGAAAAAAGCAGAACCGGGAGACAGGAAGACGAAAGUGAUCGGGGAAGACCAGCCACGAGAAUAAAACCCGCCCAGACCCUGCCACAGCAGCCUCUGCUUUCCAGUGCUGGAUCCCGACACCCCUGCUGAGAUGACCCCACGGCCCCCUUGACUUUUCUCUCUGAUUUCCGAGACUAAAGCUCACCAAACCUUUUCCCACCCCUGAAAAGUCUCAACUGUGAAAGCUUGGCUGGGAAAGGACCUGGAUACAAAGGGACUCUGUGUAGCCUUCCUUGGAUCUUUGAAAAACAGCGACAAACACCCUGAAACUAAGGACGCCUUCUGAUAAGCUAUUGAGAUUCACUGGCCAUUUCUGCUGUGUUGGACAGGAGCCCCCAUGCAACGGGCUUUUCAGAAGCCAAUAAAGACCCGUGGCGUGAGACUCCUGGGACUUCAUCCAUCCAUAUCUCAAGGAGCUGCCCUGUCCCCCAUCUUCCUGCCUGAAUGUGAUGCCUCUCUGGCAUGAAAGCUGGGAACGAAGUGCAGGAGAGAACGUGUGUGUGUGUGUGUGUGUGUGUGUGUGUGUGUGUGUGUGUGACUACUUCUUGUAAAUGCAUAGAAAUGAGACCUCAAGAUAAAUAAAUCUG